rnacentral:tRNA from 1 species
GCGAACAUAGUUUAACCAAAACAUUAAGUUGUGGACUUAACAUUGAAGACUCACCCCCCUCUGUUUGCC